rnacentral:rRNA from 1 species
UAGGGAAUAUUGGUCAAUGGGUGAGAGCCUGAACCAGCCAUGCCGCGUGCAGGAAGAAGGCCUUCUGGGUUGUAAACUGCUUUUGCCAGGGGAUAAAAAUACCUUGCGAGGUAAAUUGAAGGUACCUGGUGAAUAAGCCACGGCUAACUACGUGCCAGCAGCCGCGGUAAUACGUAGGUGGCAAGCGUUGUCCGGAUUUAUUGGGUUUAAAGGGUGCGUAGGCGGCCCUGUAAGUCAGUGAUGAAAUAUCCCAGCUUAACUGGGAGGGUGGCAUUGAUACUGCGGGGCUAGAGUACAGAUGAGGUAGGCGGAAUUGACGGUGUAGCGGUGAAAUGCUUAGAUAUCGUCAAGAACACCUAUAGCGAAGGCAGCUUACUAGGCUGUAACUGACGCUGAGGCACGAAAGUGUGGGGAUCAAACAGGAUUAGAUACCCUGGUAGUCCACACUGUAAACGUUGAUUACUCGCUGUGUGCGAUAUACAGUACG